CUAAACUCACUCCACAGGAUGCAGACAGCAUCUUUCCUAGCAUGUCCCCAUCAAGGCAAGCCCCUCACUAGUCACUUCCCUGUGACCCUGGUAAGAAACACUACCCAAUGGAAAGGCCUAAAGGAAUUAAAAAAGACUUCUUGGUCUCUUUUCCCCCCUCUCAACUCUUCAAAAAAGAUUUGCUGCUAAACUUAGCAGUGCCUGAGUCCUGUGUUGAAGCUACUGUAUGUAUUUCUUUGCUGCACAGACAUCAUGAGUCAGGCAGAGCACCCUCACACUAGCCCACUGGUAAACACUGCGCCACAAAACUCAUUUGAAAAGGCAUCUGUUUCAUUAUUCAUAUAUUCUGGUCAUGUAGAACAACUAGUCAGGUUGUCUUGCUUUUACUAUUCUACUGGUUGACAAGGAACAGCUGGGUUGUUGUUUUUUUCUGCUCCUGCAUUUCUACAAAUCACUAUUAAUCUAUAUCCUCAUAUUAUCCUCAAAUUAAUGGAAAGCCAAAUCAUUUAGCAUUGCUCAGGUUUAAAUUAAAAUAUGCACCUAUAAAAAGGAUUCAUUUUUCAUCUUUAUGAGAAUCCAACACUGAUUGUGUACUGGAAGUCAGAUAUUUGAAAAACAUUGUUUCAUCUUACUUUUUUGUCUUGUAAUUAGUCUAAAAUAACAAGUAAUAUUUAAACUAUUGGUAAAUAUCCUUUAUGCUGGAUGAGAGCAAGGUGUGGUGAGAGAGCUAAACUCUAUGUUGCUAAACUUUAGAGACAGCACACUAUAUGAUUUUAAACAUCUAAUUCUUUUUUUAUCUGAACAUAUGCACCACGUGCGCACGCGCGCACACACACACACACACUGCACAGAGUGUGCAAGGAACAAAGAUCACACUGGUACAAGAUUUAGUUCAUACAGUAUGUAUCCAGGAUUGGUCCAGUAAUGGAAAAAACACUGCUAGACUGAGGGACCGGUGAUAAUUUUAAGGUCAGCUAACUCAUGAACUAGAAAUGAAUGCUCUAGGCCACACAAAUGCUGAGCUUCUUGUACAUGUGCAUCAACAGACUCGCUCACAUGUACUCUUUCACAUCCCUCUUUCAAACAUGCACACAUAUGGACAGCAACUAUUUGCUCUUAAAAGAGGGACAAAAACUUCAGAGCAGCAGUGUCUUCUCCCUUUUGCACUCUCUCUUAUAAACAAAUCCACACAAUAUAGAGUAUACAGGGCUGGAAUUAUUUUCCCUUCUGUUCACUGAUACUAAAUAAUUCUUUACAACCACUGGUUUUGUCUGAAAGCAUUCACACUGCUCUGCCAAAACAUUCCUAACCUUGAGAAAGCAGACCUUACACAAUCACUUCAUUCUGAGCACCAUCCUGCUUUUACUUCCUACUUUAAUUCUGGUAAGACUUUUGUAUUGAAUAUCUCAUAUUUCCAACAUUUCAGAGUAUGUAGAUUCAAGAUUUUAGCUCCAGCUUUUGUUUUCAGUGGCCACUAAAAUCUUGUGAAUGAAGAGGGACAGAAGAUGGCAGACUGAUUGAUAUGAUUCUAAAGUCCAAAGCCUCAUUAUCAUCGCAGAGGACCGGCAUACCAUUCCAAGCACUGGACCAGUGACCAGAAAGAAAAUAUUUCAACGUCUGCAGGGAGGAAAUAUACUGAGGCAGUGGUGGAAGGAUUACGCAAAAGUGGCCUCUGGUCUGGAGAACCACUCAGGAACCAUGUUUGUAGUUGAAGAAUGUUCAGAUUGGGAAGAAGUGUCUGACCUGCAUCCUGAGACAAUAGUCGAGGUUUGAUUGAGAGCCACCAUGCAGGGCAAGAGGUGAGUUUAAUGAGGUAAGAAACCAAACUUGUCUUGGCCAAGUUGGAGCAAUCAAAAUGAUCUUGGCUUGGUCUUGCUUGAUCUUGAUGAGGACAUUUAAAGGCGAUGGAGUUGGAAGAUAUGUAUAAAAAAGAUCUUUUGUGCAUGUAAUAAGGAUAAUGUCUCUUAGAGAUUGGGGAUCAAGUCCCCCUCUGAAACAGAAUUUCCUGUACUGCAUGUUGGCUGCCUUGGCUAAAAGGUCAACCUGUGGACAUUCUCAAGCUAGGAAUUCUUUUUGAAGAUCAAGAAUCCAACUCCCAUUUGUAAUUUAGGGAGAAAUAUCUGCUGAGGUUCUCUGCCAUGUUGUUUUGUGUACCCA